AGCUGCUGGAGAGAAUGAGCUUGGAGCCGCAGGGCUUAAUCCCGCGCGGCUCAGAGAUGGGUUUCUGGACUCGCGAAGCAGCUGCAACAAGGCAUCACUCACUGUAUAAGUAUUUCCAUUUCUGAGAGCAAAAGGAAGAACUUAAGCGGGCGGCACUUGGAGUGUAAAUUGCUUUGUAGUAUUUAAAGGCAGAAUGGAUCCUGGGCAGCCGAGCUGCAACAAACCGGCAGGACUUCCUGUGAAAUCAUGACCACCAUGUGCUCUUUCAGCCUCUAUCAGUUCCUACCUCUAAGCACCUGAGAGCCAAAGCAAACCACAGGAAACCACAGGUACUAACUCUUUUAGACCUGAUGAAGUGUCUCCCAAAUACAGUCUGGCAUGGGCAAAUUUAUGUUACUCUGGAAGUAGAGAAAAUCAUGAUGGCAGAUCGGAGGCAGGACUAAUCUGCAACUUCCACUGAGACAGACAGACCAGUGUGUGGAGACUCACAUCAUGAACUUUUGCUCCAAGAACUACUGCAGGACCAUACCAGGAAAGCUGAGAGAAUCCACAGAAGGAUCUUGAUCACCACCGCAGGCUCCCUGAGAUGCUGAAGAAAACUUACUCAAACUAAACGUCAGCUUUUCCCGGCUCUCAAGCCUGCUGGUCCCUGAACUAAAACUCACAUUAUCAACUCUACUGGUUCUUAGGCCUUUGGAGUCAGACUGGAACUACAGCAUUGACUCUUCCGGAACUCCAGCUUACUGACUACAGAUCUUGGAACUUUUCAGCUUCCACAACCAUAAUGAAAGCCAAGCAUAUUCCAUCAUUUCCUAAAACCAAGAUAGAGCACAUAUGGGAACUUGUGAAAUAAGGAUGCCCUGCGGUUGUUUUCAGGACUGAAGACAACAGCUCCACGAUGUAUCUUUGCAUAAGAAUACACUUGUAUAAUAAGUUUUUUUUUUUAGAGAAAUUGCAUGUAUCUGCCUUAUAAACUUUUUCAUUCAUUCAUUUUCUUUCUUCCUAAUCUGUUCCAUAAAGCAAAUUUCUAACUUAUUGUUAAUCAAAAUAAUUAUUGAAAUAAUUAGUACUUUCAUAUGAUAAAGAUUAUUUUAAUCUGCAGCUACAAAAUAUGUAACUCAUUAAUAUUUAAACAAUCACAAUUUUCUAUUAACAUUAUAGCAUUUUAUCUACUACUAGAUCAGGAAUUAGCUAUUUUUUGUAAAAUUUCUUUGUAAGGCAAAGCAAUAGUAUUGUAUAUACUUUCCUAAAGAUUGUCAAGUUCAGUUUUGCUUAAAUUUAACAGUACAUGUGACACUUUCUGUUUGAAGAAUAAGUUGGUUUUAAGUUUAUACCAAACAAAAGCAUCUCUUUUGUUUUGCAAAAUCUGAAACUUUGAUCUUUCUAGUUGUGACUUCUUGUAAAUAUGUUUUAUAUAAAUAUUCUAUGAAUUGGUUAUUAACAAGGUAAAGAAAGAUUGAUAUGUAAGCUGAUUCUUAAACAUUAAUUUUCUGGAGAUAAACUUUUUUAAAAUUAUGCUUUAAAAAUAUUUUAACACAUGUUAUCAAAAAGGAACUGAAAUAUCUUAGGCAUAAAAGACAUCUCUAGAGGUCAUUAUUCAGUUUCCAGAAAGUACUGAAACUAUCUCUGACAGAUUGAUACGUUUUCUGCAUUUAUAGCUCUCUGGAGAGAGGUUCUGUAUAUUUAACAAUUCUCACUGUGAGGGAUAUUUUAAGUAUUUCAAAUUUAAAGUGCUCAUGUUUCAGAUUCAGAUUAUUAUUAUCAUCAUCAUUAUUUUGGUUCUGGCUUCAGUAAAAAUGUGAAAA
ensembl:lncRNA LINC01322 long intergenic non-protein coding RNA 1322